rnacentral:rRNA from 1 species
GACAGAGGGGGCAAGCGUUGCUCGGAAUUACUGGGCGUAAAGGGCGCGUAGGCGGGAUGGCAAGUCGGUCGUGAAAGACCUCGGCUCAACUGAGGAGUGUCGAUCGAUACUGCCGUUCUUGAGGAUUGCAGAGGAGACUGGAAUUCCCGGUGUAGCGGUGAAAUGUGUAGAGAUCGGGAGGAACACCGGUGGCGAAGGCGGGUCUCUGGGCAAUUCCUGACGCUGAGGCGCGAAAGCGUGGGGAGCAAACGGG